rnacentral:snRNA from 1 species
GCGCUUGCUUUGGCAGCACAUAAACUGAAAUAGGAAGGAUGCAGAGGUCAGCACGGCCCUGCCACAGGGAUGACAUGCAGAUUUGUGAAGCAUUUAAAAAAAAA